AAGGUUUGGCUUCAGAUGUGGCCUUUCUAAAUCACUGAUUUCUUCCUUGUCUAGAUAUUGAGCUCAAGAGGCCAGUUGAGGGGUGAAAAUGCAAGGAAAUGGAGCUGAAGCCAAGGCUUGUGUUAAUUUAAAAACAAUAAAAACUAGCUUACUAAGCAGAAAACACAAAAGAUGAGAAAAUAAUGCUGAGAGUUAUGCCUGUGCCUUAAAGUCUGCAAAAUGGUGACAACCUAUCAGGGACCACUGCUGCUGCUGGACAAAGGAAGCCCAUGGCAGGCAGAGCUAGAGCCAAACAUCAACCGCCACUUUUGUGUUUUCCCACUUCUCCCUGUGCUCUGUUUCUUUCUCUCUCCCCACCACAUGCUUGGGAUACAAUUUAUGAGAAAACCAGUAUUUUUCUCUUUUCCUAUCCACUCAGUAGGCUGACAAGCUACAGACAGAUCACUCCUACCAGACAUUUGCAUUAACUGCUUGAAAAGGACUUUUGAAGGGAUGCUUAUGAUUGUAAACGACGCAACUCAGCUUAAAAUAUAGGUAUUUUCAUGGCCGACCUUGGAAUUUUGGCAAAUUCAGCUGGUUGCCUAGUUUGCUUUUAUGGCUGGCCGCUGAAGAUGUCCAGGGUGAACCUGAUCCUGUUCUGUUGCAAGGUUUUAAAGUGGUCUGUCAUACGUGAGUGUAUUUUUCUCUUGGAGGUCAGAACUAUUCCUCCUAGACUGAAGGAAUAUUCAAGAGGUAUCUUGUACUGAAAAGAUCUGUCAGGUUAUUGCCAAGACAUUUUCAGAAAGUGCAAAGUAUAUUGUAGAGGCUUUUCAAAUGUUGCGAGCUUUUAAAGCCUAGAGAAGUGUAUAAGCCUUCUUUCCACAGAUCAUGUUAUGGCAGUAUAAAUGGGAAGUCUUUCCCUCCAUCUGAAUUUGGUACCCUGCGGUUACUUUUGAGGGAAGAAGGGAAAAAAGAGAUGACUGCUAGCUGUAUCUUCACUUAGUUGUUUGACUCAUGCUGCAGAAAGAAUGAAAGAAAAGCCUACAUUUCUGCAGGCCUUUUUCUGAGUAUCUGUAUAGUCGGAUAUACACUCCACUUUUGGAAUAUGGUACUUUUUUUGGGGGGGGA
rnacentral:lncRNA from 1 species